GCAGCCGCCGGCACAACAGUAGCAUGCUGUGUAUGUCCUGGCACAACAGCAGCAUGCUGGGUAUACUACAUACGUAUCAAUGGAAGAGCGGCGAUUGGAGCGGCAGCGCGUCAGGCAAUGCCGCCAGCUGCGGCGGCUGGCAAAUCUGAACCCCGGUAGCGGCCAACGAAACCGUACCGGCGGCCUGGGUGGGCCGAGUACGCAAAACUGCGUUGCGGGCCCCGGUACGGUCUGCGUGGUUUUGGGGCCCAGUGGGUGCAUUUGCGGGCGGCACAUAU